rnacentral:rRNA from 1 species
GAGUUUGAUCUUGGCUCAGAACGAACGCUGGCGGCAGGCCUAACACAUGCAAGUCGAACGCCCCGCAAGGGGAGUGGCGCACGGGUGAGUAACGCGUGGGAACCUGCCCUUCGGUUCGGGACAACCCAGGGAAACUUGGGCUAAUACCGGAUGAGCUCCGCGAGGAGGAAAGAUUUCUCGCCGGAGGAGGGGCCCGCGUCGGAUUAGGUAGUUGGUGGGGUAACGGCUCACCAAGCCUUCGAUCCGUAGCCGGUCUGAGAGGAUGAUCGGCCACACUGGGACUGAGACACGGCCCAGACUCCUACGGGAGGCAGCAGUGGGGAAUAUUGGACAAUGGGGGCAACCCUGAUCCAGCCAUGCCGCGUGGAUGAUGAAGGCCUUCGGGUUGUAAAGUCCUUUCGUCGCACGACGAUGAUGACGGUAGUGCGAG